UGGGGAAUUUUGGACAAUGGGCGAAAGCCUGAUCCAGCAAUGCCGCGUGUGUGAAGAAGGCCUUCGGGUUGUAAAGCACUUUUGUCCGGAAAGAAAUCCUUGGCUCUAAUACAGUCGGGGGAUGACGGUACCGGAAGAAUAAGCACCGGCUAACUACGUGCCAGCAGCCGCGGUAAUACGUAGGGUGCAAGCGUUAAUCGGAAUUACUGGGCGUAAAGCGUGCGCAGGCGGUUUGCUAAGACCGAUGUGAAAUCCCCGGGCUCAACCUGGGAACUGCAUUGGUGACUGGCAGGCUAGAGUAUGGCAGAGGGGGGUAGAAUUCCACGUGUAGCAGUGAAAUGCGUAGAGAUGUGGAGGAAUACCGAUGGCGAAGGCAGCCCCCUGGGCCAAUACUGACGCUCAUGCACGAAAGCGUGGGGAGCAAAACAGGAUUAGAUACCCUGGUAGUCCACGCCCUAAAACGAUGUCAACUAGUUGUUGGGGAUUCAUUCCUUAGUAACGUAGCUAACGCGUGAAGUUGACCGCCUGGGGAGUACGGUCGCAAGAUUAAAACUUAAAUGAAUUGACGGGGUC
rnacentral:rRNA from 1 species